GAUGAAGAACGCAGCGAAAUGCGAUAAGUAAUGUGAAUUGCAGAAUUCAGUGAAUCAUCGAAUCUUUGAACGCACAUUGCGCCCCUUGGUAUUCCGAGGGGCAUGCCUGUUCGAGCGUCAUUAUAACCCCUCAAGCUCAGCUUGGUGUUGGGGCCUGCUGCACUGGCAGCCCUUAAAAUCAGUGGCGGCGCCAUCUGGCUCUAAGCGUAGUAAUUCUUCUCGCUAUGGAGUCCUGGUGGAUGCUUGCCAUCAACCCCCAAUUUUUCUAUGGUUGACCUCGGAUCAGGUAGGGAUACCCGCUGAACUUAAGCAUAUCAAUAAGCGAAGGA
rnacentral:misc_RNA from 1 species